UCCAGAAGUGGCUCAGUUUGUACAGCCUGAGUCUCUUAAUCUCAGGCUCGUGGGUUCAAUCCCCACGUUUGGCA